rnacentral:rRNA from 1 species
AUUGAACGCUGGCGGCAUGCCUUACACAUGCAAGUCGAACGGCAGCACGGGUGCUUGCACCUGGUGGCGAGUGGCGAACGGGUGAGUAAUACAUCGGAACAUGUCCUGUAGUGGGGGAUAGCCCGGCGAAAGCCGGAUUAAUACCGCAUACGAUCUACGGAUGAAAGCGGGGGACCUUCGGGCCUCGCGCUAUAGGGUUGGCCGAUGGCUGAUUAGCUAGUUGGUGGGGUAAAGGCCUACCAAGGCGACGAUCAGUAGCUGGUCUGAGAGGACGACCAGCCACACUGGGACUGAGACACGGCCCAGACUCCUACGGGAGGCAGCAGUGGGGAAUUGUGGACAAUGGGCGAAAGCCUGAUCCAGCAAUGCCGCGUGUGAAGAAGGCCUUCGGGUUGUAAAGCACUUUUGUCCGGAAAGAAAUCCUUGGCCCUAAUACGGUCGGGGGAUGACGGUACCGGAAGAAUAAGCACCGGCUAACUACGUG